UCAGGAUCGACAGAUCUUAUUUUGAUGCACACCCUAUUCCUACAAUAGAUCUACUGUAGCCAACAUACACCUCAAGACUUGGAAUAGCUUGAAAAUCGAGUUAUGGUGCAGUCAAACUACAACAACCCCACUGUGAAUAGCCGAGGCACUGCAGGUUAAAAAACUAUUUACACCAUUACAACUUUGAGCAAGUUACCGACGAGUGGACAGCUAUCCUAGUGACUUCUCGUAUUGAUCAUGCUCAGUAUC
rnacentral:lncRNA from 1 species